rnacentral:misc_RNA from 1 species
AGCUUAUUUCCUUGUCAAUGAAAUCUAAAAUGUAUUUCAUUUCUCAUCUAAAUUUCAACACGUAAAGUGUAUUUGUUUUUUGUUCUCGGAAAAUAAAUCUUCGCCGCCAUGUGUUGCCCGAGUCGUUACUACAGGAGCACCCCAUGCGUCCAGUGCUGCCUAAUCGAUUGUAGCUACUGUUGCCCCCGAUCCCAAUGCGGAGGUCCUUGCUGUACCACCGUAUUUCCUUCUCCGGGUUGUUGUGGGGGUUGUUGCGGUCCCUGUUAAUACCUGGGCAACAAAAAAUAUUAAACAUCUCAUGACGAGCGGAUGCCAAAAAUAAAGUAGUCUGUAGUCUAUGAAUUUUAUCUGUCAAAUUUUUGGAACCUGACGACGAAUCCCAUAUGGAAAAUUCAGUCCGACCCCGAGCCUUGAUGUGAACACAACAAAAUACAAAUAAAUAGAAAACAUUUUCAAUAGCUAACAUCUUUUGAAAAUAAGAUAUUUUUUGUGAACAUCAAGCUCGCUGUUGGAUCGGAAGACUCGCUCCAUUCGGGAUAUUUUGAUUUCAACUUCAGUGAUCUCAUAACCGAUCGCCACGAUGUGCUGCAAUCCCGGAGGCUGCUGUAAUCUUCCCACAUGCAUUCAGUGUACCAACUUUUGCUUCAACUGCUGGACGGGCACGGCUGCUAUACCUUGCACCCGCAAAAUUUGCGUUCCUGGCUGUUUCUGCGGGCCAUGUUGUUAACCUGUGAUCCUCCUACGAGCAUCCAGUGCACCAACUUUUGGGUCAACUGCAGCACAGGCCCGGGUGCAACAAUCUUAACCCGAAAAAUUGGCAUUCUGGGUGUUCCGGUUGGUUACGUUGAGGUCACGGAAGCAUAAAGACUCGCUUUCGGUAUGGGAGACACGCAACGACCGGGAAAUUUUAGUGUCAACAUCCAUGAUCUCAUUACCGAUCGCAACGAUGUACUUUGAUCCCGGAAGUUGCUGUGACCCACCCACAAGCAUCCUGGGCACCACCUUUGGGGAUCUUAAUCCUCAAACCCGGAGGAUCAAUGCAGUAAUCUCUUCCCCCCCAGCAGUCAGUGGCCAAAUUUGGUUAACUGCGGUCGUGGAUGUUCCAGCAGACUCAAUUUCAUCAAAAUUAUAAAAUGUUAUAUCCAAAUUAAAACCAUUCCGAGUAGUAUAUCCUUAAA